UGAACAACCAUUUCUAAAAAUGUUUUUUUGCUGAAGUGCUAGGGCAUAGAGGAAAAGCUUGGCCAGCAUUAGUUUUGAAUAUCGAUGUACUCUAAAAUUCUCAAGAACGGCAUACAUCUCUCUCAAAAGCCUAAGUUCAUAACUGGAAAACUAUUUUAAGAUAAGCCCCAGUGUAGUCACAAGCAUAGACUGAAAGAGUGUGGAGGCAUUGUUUGGGGUUAUUAGGAGUUAAAACUAGCCUGAGAGUCUUAGAGAAUGUUUUCCUGUCUAUACCUUCUGGGGUUCUCCAACUUUCUAGGGGUCCUCUGGAGGACAAGUCGAAACAUGAUUUGUUAGUCCCUGCUUCUUGAAUACCUAGCCCAGUUAAGGUUCUUGGGUUGGGAGCCAAGAAUUUGAAGUAUCUGUGGCAAGUUCCCAGCUGCCACUGUUCCCGGUCAAAAGACCUGGGAGAACCUGUGUUGGAAGCCAAGGUCUCUGGUUCCAGGCCACCCCGUUAGAUGACCUUGUACCAGAGAGCACAUAGUUGUUCCAGAGGAGUAUAGUUGUUGGCUCUUUUAUUUUUCCGAGCCGAGGAGAAUUUCCAGAUGGGUGGGAGUGUGAUUCAGUAUUAGACAGCAGCUGGAGCAGUCCUAAAAAGCCAGAGAGCAAAGAUGCAACACCAGGCAGAGUUGCCUUGAGCUAAAGAGACAGCCGGGCUGUCACAGAAGAACGAAGCCGUGACUUGUGAGGCUGCUUGAAAUCUUCGUUUUGAGAAUCUUUUCAAAUUUUCAAGUUUAUCAAGAAAGCUAAAGCAUUUUCUUGACCAUUUAGAAGAUACUGUGAAUUUUGUCAAACAGUGUCCAAACGUGACUCAGCUUUCUACAAACUUUUGGUCAAGAAAAAAGUCUCAGAACUUGGCUGAUAGGCUGGACAGAAGCCCCUCUAGGACUCCAAAGUUUCCAGGGACUGCAACUGCCCUGAAGAGGAACUGGUGGACAGAAAAUCAGAAAGCAGCCAGGGAAUCUUGCCAUGACUUAACAGCUCUUUGCUGCCUCCCAACUAUCGCAGCCACGGGAGAGGCACAUUCACUUGAGAAUACAAUGGACAGGAGUCAUUUACUUUGGAUUCAGGCCAAAGAGUUAAUCGGAUGCCAUUUGUAGGUAUAGUAAUUUCAAGUUCAGACCCAUGAAAAUCUUUUCUGGUACUUUUGUCUGAACUAGAGAUGUGACUUAAUGCGGUAGUUCUUGAGGACAUUAACUUAAAGCCACCUUGGAAGCGCAAGUCCCUGGGGUAAAGAAAUAGGUUCAUGUCUUCCUGUGCCGGAGUCUGCUGACUAAACCCUCAAAGUUUAGAGUCCGUGUCUUUUGUACACUUGGGUCCACAUGUCCAAAGUGGCUUGAGAAAUGAUUUAUCAAUAGUUAACAUCCCUUUCCAAUCAGAU